UCAAUUCGCCACACCCAGCCAAUGGGUCACAUCCACCCGGCAUUCGAUGAUGCAUAAGUGGGUUUUGGGUUGCUGUUUGGGCACUCGGUCUCUAAAAGGUUCGCCAUCACUGUUCUAUUCUAACUUGAUUUUGGGUGUGCAAGGCAUCUUAAGUAAAUCCACUAGUUAAACAAUUUGGUUUUGUUGACCUCCCCUUUUUAAAAUUUACUAGCCAGAGGAAUUUCAACAGUAUGAUAUAACCAAGUAAUACCAAUUAUGUAUGGAAAAAUAUACUUUAGAACAUUUCUCCAGAGCUGUAUUCCUCCUGUCCUCCAAUCCACAGAAUAGUGUAUUGAUAUAAUUUAUAUUGCUCACACAGCUAAGCCUCAUUCUGCUUCAAAAAUGAGGCUGGGGAGUGAUGCUGUUCUUAGAAAUAUCAUGCAAAACAGUACUGGGAUAACAGUAUUCCCUGGCCCCUUUCCCACCAUGACUCAUCAACCAUGGAGGAAAAACACCGCCACUUGUUCCUCAUAAUGUGAGGAAGAGCACAGUUGGAAGACUUAGGCACAUUACACUUCAGCUUAUAUUCCUUCAUUGCCCUUGGACAGUCUGCAUUUUUUUCAUAGUUUAUUUGCAUAGGAUUAUAGAGCUAUUGGUCCCCUAAAACAGGAAUGUCAAACUGCCAGCCCACUGGCCGGUUGCAUCAUAUGGAGGCCGUGCCCACCCCAGCUCCAGCAAUGGAAAAGGUUGCCCUAAAACAUUAAUAGCUUAUCUCAAAAGCAAACAAACACUUGAAAUAUCCACUCUGUGCAAGCCAGAUGUCAAGUUUCUAUGGCACCUCAAGUCAUUGGAGGCAGGGCUCAAUGGGAGGAUACUUUAAAAAAAAAAAGAUGGUUUUCCAGAAUAUCUUAUAGAAUCUCAAAGCAACUGGAAGGAGCUUGCAGGCAGGUUGAUAGAUUUCCUUUCUACUUCACCUGUCUCUCCUAAACUAGGUCUACUUAUCAGCCAAGAUUUUGUUUGUUUGUCUUGACACUGAGUGUAUUGGUCUCCUGGAAAGUCGGCAUUUAUUUGGAAAGCAACUGUCUUCCAGGGAAUCAAUAUUUCCAUGUCAAAAACAAAAAACAAAAGACUGCACAAAUCAAGUGCCAAUCUUUCUCACCUCACCAGGUAAAAAUGGCAGUGGCUGAUAAUUCAAUGAGGAAAGUUGGUGAAUAGGCUGUUAAAUGAUUAUAUUUAUAGGAAAUGAAUUGUGCUCUCUCAAAGAUUAUUUUUAUGGUUAACAGUUUUGUUUUUAAUAUUUUUAAUUUUUCCUGUUUUUGUGGUUAUCUUUGUAUUGCUUUUUAAAAAUUCUGUAAGCAACCCAAAGUCGCAACACUCUGAUAGGGAGAUAUAUAAAUUUAAUGAAUAAAUUUUAACAAUCCAUAGCAAAUUAAUGCAGCCAAUACAUAGGAGCUGGGCAGAUCCUUGCCCUGACUGCUUCAUCACUACCCAUGUUGUAGAUUAUUCAUAUGUCAAAACUUGUGUUAAAAAGGAGAAACAGCAUUUUAACAACUGAGGCUUGGAUGAGACUUACAUGACCUCAUUAGCCAAUGUUCCUUAACAAGUUAAGAUAGCAUCUUCCUGCCAUGGUGAGGCAUGAGAACAAGCCCUUACUAUUGUUAUGUUCCCGAUGCAUAACUUAAUGCAUUACUUUACUUUCCUAUCACCAAGAAGGAUGCUCUAUAUACGAUCAAUUCAGAAACUAGAUCUGUGUUUUUUUUCCAAGGCAACUUUUUCCAACCUGACAUAUUCUAAAUAUAAUUCCCCACCAUCUUUUCAGCAUACUGUCUGGAAUAAUUCUACAAAUGUGCAGGGCUUCAGAUUGGGGCACUGAUUACCUAUAAGUGUGAGUAAACAGAUCAUGACAUCACAUAUUGCAAAUUCAGUGCUACAGUACAUCCACACAAAACCAUUCUUACAUGUAAAUAAUUUUGGGAUUAUAAAGUGGUAAAUUAAAACUUGUGAGAUGUAUUACACUUCAUUCUCCUUGCUUUCUUUUGUUCUACAACUAUUCAUUUCAAACAGUUAAUAAAACUUUUCUCUGCAAGUAUUGUACAAUUAUAGCAAACAGGCCACCAAUCAGCAGAUUCAUAUAUAAGAUUAUUUAGUUUUAUUAUGACUGCGCUGUGUGCUCUCUGAAGGUCAAAUGGAAAAGAGCAACUGAGAAGGGAAUUUUGCCAGCUGUAAUGCCAACUUCUGACGUAGGAACUCAGAGUUUAGACACAGGGUACAUGAAAAGAGUAAAUAAAGAAAACAAUGUUCAUUUCAUUGCAUCUCUUACUAUAUAAAGGGUGCAAUGGUUUUGUUAAUCUUUAUACGAAAAACCUACACGCUGUAAACAGCAGCUCAAACUUGGGGAAAAUGGUAUCUAAAAAGUUACAAAGAUUAGAAAAAAGUUUAGCAUACUGUAACAAAGUACUUCUUAAACCACAUUCUGUGGAACAACUUAUUCCCCAAGCAACGUAUUUUGCAAAUUUGUCCUCAGCUCCAUGAAAAGGCUUUUUGUGGCUUUUGGAUCAGUUUAGCCAAAAACUUUCAGAAAAAGAUAUCAAACGAUGGGCAUCAUGAUUUUCUAUUCCUUUUCAACUGAGUAAAGUGGUCAAUCAUCAAUGGGAAUCCACAAGCAGAACAGUAACACCCAGCAAUGCCUGCAGAGAAGAUGUCAAAACAGACAAGAUGGCAAAUGCCAAUAUUAAAUAUACAAAAGAGGAAGGACUUAUAUAAUAAUGUGACUUCCACCCACUUCCGGUUUUGACCUCAUCUCAUGGAUGCUGCUGCUAACUCUAUCUCAUUCAUAGUCCCCAAAAAUGAGUUUCAAAAGGAAAAAGCUUUCAUUGUUCUUUUGUAUUUGAACCACCAUAAAUAAAGACUGAUCAACGAAUCCAAUUACUUCAGAGAUUGUAUUGUUUAUACAGCUUCACUGUAUGAAGUGACUAUUUCUUGCUAGUCCCUGCAUUAUUUUUAACCAGUUACCACUUCAUAAAAUGUCAUAUUUAAUCUAUGACUUCUAAAUGCGAGCUUCACAAAAAGAAACUCCAAAUAGCUUUGCGUGUUUGUUACAGAUAAUACUUAUCUACUUAAUGCAUUUAACCAUGUUAUUAUGCUUUCUUCAGCAAAAUUUAUCCUGUUUACUUUAUAAUGUAACCUUUAUUAAUAUUACUUUAACUAGCUUGACAUUUCUGAAUACCUAAAGUUUAUUUUAUUUUGCCUUGCCCUUGACAGAACUAUCUUAAGAAUGCUACACAUUUUUCUCAGGUGAGCAGUCCCAUAUUUGUAUUCUUUUGGAACUCUUGAAUAGGUUUCAUUCAAACCAACAAAAUCUAUAAAUUUGUUUCUUUGCCUCUUCAGCUCGUUUCUUUCCUAAAGCAUCUUCUCUACAUUUUCUGGAGAUGUAGAGAACCCAUUCAGCUUCUCUACACUCUCCUUUUAAUCAGCUUGCUAUCCAAUUUUUCAACCACGUAUGUUUUAUCACUGAUAUAUUUAAAUUUUAUUUUAGUAAUUUUAAUAUUAAUGAUUUGGUCCUCAAAAUUCUUUCUUACACCAUUGCCUAUUUGCAUUUAUUUUAUGCAAGGUUAUUUUUUCUGUAUUAUGUCAAGAAUUGAACUUUAUAAAGGAUUUUUUUUCUAAUAUUAUCCUUGAUAUUACUUAUUAGCAUGCAAAGGACAGAAUUUGAAUAAUCUUUACUGAUAGGCAAUAAACAUUUUAGCUGAAUGUCUAUUAUCAUAGUUUGUUAACAUUAAGUAUUCCUUCAACAGUUUUUCUCUCCUGAACACAAUUAUGACUGCAUUGUAGAUGAUCUGACAUGUAUUGCACUUUUGGGAGGGGAAAGGGAGUUUCCCUCUUAUUUUUAAAUAAAAUAUGAUACAUAAAUAGGAUCUGAAAUGUGUUAUUUCCAAUCAGUCCAAUAAGACUCACAUUUAUCACAAUUCUUGGGGGGGGGGUUUAGGGAAAAAUCCAGGUUGUCCCUCCUCUGGCUAGUCCCACUAUCAGUUGUUCCAAGAUAAAAUAAAAGGAGCAUAUAACUUUUUUCUGUGCCCAUUGUUGAUCUCAGGAUCACUAUCCUAGCCCAGAAUCCUAAAGUAACAAGGAGCAAGCAAUAUCAUAACAUGGAAUAAGAAAUUAUAAAGGGACAGAACUUGUUUUCUAAAUUCUAAAAUAUGGUAGUUACAUUUAAUUAUUGUUAGAAAGCUUGUUAAUUUUAUUUUUUCCACUAAUUUUUGUAAAGCUCAAAAUAAGUCAUUUCAAAAGCAUAACUUGAAGAAUUAUUUUAAAGAAUAUACUGACCGCUUCACAUAAUAUACACAUAAUAUACUGACCGCUUCACCAUCAUCGGCAAAAGCUCUCCUGUAACUAACUCCUAACUAGAGAUGUUAAGAACUAAAGUUGGAAUCUCUCACCUUUAAAGUUGUUGAUAUGCAGUGGAAUUAUUAUAGCUCUUCAUAAUUCAUCAACAAGAGGAACCCAGAUUAGUACUAUCAGGUUCCUACUACCGAGAUUAAAAUAUAAGUAAUUUGCCUGAGAAUACAAACAUCUGACACAGCUAGGGAAUAAAGACUUAAUAUACAAAUUUAUGAUACUCUUUUCUUCAACAUUAUACAUUUGACUUUUCUCACUACUGAAUUAAAAUGUUAUCCACUCAUCCUUAAAUUUGUGUGACUUCCUAUAUUGCAUCUAUUGUAUCUGUACUCAGAGUAGUGUUAUUCUGAUUUCUGAAUAUACACUAUAAAUAAGAGUGUAAGUAAAACUAUUAUUUCUCAACUCUAGUGCUGGCUCCUUUCAGCACAUCACUGUCAUGAAUUUAUAGCAGGAGAGGAUAUGAUUCCAAAACUUUCUGUGAGCUUCUCUCAUAUCACCCUAUUUGACCAUCUCAUUAGUUAAAAUAAUGUGGAAAAAAUAUGAGGAAAAACACCAAGACAGAAAUGAGAAGCUAUCUUUUUGUGUAAACAUUUUAUUAAUUUUCUAAUUUUACAAACAUAAAUACUUAAUAAACAUGUUGUCUGGGUCAUUGGUAAUUCAGUGGUACAUAUUA